AGUGAACGCUGGCGGUAGGCCUAACACAUGCAAGUCGAACGGCAGCACAGUAAGAGCUUGCUCUUACGGGUGGCGAGUGGCGGACGGGUGAGGAAUACAUCGGAAUCUACUUUUUCGUGGGGGAUAACGUAGGGAAACUUACGCUAAUACCGCAUACGACCUACGGGUGAAAGCAGGGGAUCUUCGGACCUUGCGCGAUUGAAUGAGCCGAUGUCGGAUUAGCUAGUUGGCGGGGUAAAGGCCCACCAAGGCGACGAUCCGUAGCUGGUCUGAGAGGAUGAUCAGCCACACUGGAACUGAGACACGGUCCAGACUCCUACGGGGGGCAGCAGUGGGGAAUAUUGGACAAUGGGCGCAAGCCUGAUCCAGCCAUACCGCGUGGGUGAAGAAGGCCUUCGGGUUGUAAAGCCCUUUUGUUGGGAAAGAAAAGCAGCAGGUUAAUACCCCGCUGUUCUGACGGUACCCAAAGAAUAAGCACCGGCCAACUUCGUG
rnacentral:rRNA from 1 species